CAGCAGCAGCCGCGGUAAUACGGAGGGGGCUAGCGUUGUUCGGAAUUACUGGGCGUAAAGCGCACGUAGGCGGCUUGGUAAGUUAGAGGUGAAAGCCUGGAGCUCAACUCCAGAAUUGCCUUUAAGACUGCCGAGCUAGCAGGUGAGAGAGGUAAGUGGAAUUCCGAGUGUAGAGGUGAAAUUCGUAGAUAUUCGGAAGAACACCAGUGGCGAAGGCGGCUUACUGGCUCAUACUGGACGCUGAGGUGCGAAAGCGUGGGGAGCAAACAGGAUUAGAUACCCCAGUAGUCCCUGUCUCUUAUAC
rnacentral:rRNA from 1 species